GAGAGGGGCUGCUCCUAGUACGAGAGGACCGGAGUGGACGCAUCACUGGUGUACCAGUUGUCUCGCCAGAGGCACUGCUGGGUAGCUAAAUGCGGAAGAGAUAAGUGCUGAAAGCAUCUAAGCACGAAACUUGCCUCAAGAUGAGUUCUCCCUGACUUAAAGUCAGUAAGGGUUGUUGGAGACGACGACGUAGAUAGGCUGGGUGUGUAAGCGGUGUGAACCGUUGAGCUAACCAGUACUAAUUGCCCGAGAGGCUUAACUAUACAACGCUCAAGGGUUUUG
rnacentral:rRNA from 1 species